rnacentral:lncRNA from 1 species
GUCAUCAUCCUCCUCGUCUGCUUCUUCUUCUUCCUCCAUUGUACCUUCAGAAGAAACGGGCAAUUUCUUAAACCGACUCUUCGAAAAGGCAUAAACUCUAAAAGACUUUCUCAUUGUCGUCGGAUCUUCUUAAUAUCAUUCUCUAGCCGUUGGAUCUUCCAAAACCCUAAACCCAUCAGGUGAAUUCACAUUCUUCUCCUCUUGCUGUCAUUAUACAGUUAAUUUCCGGUCUCGGAUUGUGGAAAAUAGAGAUUUUGAUGGUCUUAUCUUUAAAUUCAUGUGAAAUUCUUCCUUAUUCUUAGAAUUCGAUAACAAAUGCUGUUAGGAGUUAACUAGUGUUUUGUCCAAGAGGUGGAAAAGUUUCUGGCUUUGGAUUGGGGAUCUUAUGAGUUCCCAGAUUUACAAAAAGUUUAAACCUUUAUUGCAUAUAGAAACACAAGCUUACAAAGGUUUUGGUAGAUCGGUUACAACAUCAAAUGUAGAGAUUUAUAUAACUCUUCUCACACUCAAAGGUAAGAGAUGAACAAGAUUAUUCAAUCAGAGUUCUUUAGAUUCAGAAGAGCUGAUUUUUGCUGUUUGGUCUUCUUCAGCUGCAAUGUUGACAACUCUUGGACCCUUGACCUUUUCAGGAGACAGCUUAUUGAGGUUAAUAGUGAGCACACCAUUCUCGAGCUUGGCCUUGACAGAGUCCAUAUCCACAUUAUCAGGUAGCUUGAACUGUCUCCAGAACUUUCCAUAUGAUCUCUCAACUCUAUGCCACUGAUCUCCUUUCUUCUCUUCUUCUCUUUUCCUCUCUCCACUGACUCGCAGGACUCGAUUCUCUUCGACUUCUAUCUUUAUCUCGUCUUUCUUCAAACCGGGCACAUCGAGCAUUAUCUCAUGUCCUUGUGCUGUUUCUUUCCAGUCCACUCUCGUUGGGGAUAGAGCCACGCUUUGGUCCCUCUCGAGUUCUAAUGGGAUUCUCUCCAAGAUUUUGAAUGGAUCGGGAAACCGGUCUAGCCAGAGAUCCGAUAGCCAGCUGCUCGGUGUGUCCAGUGCAGAUGACAAAGACCCUUCAUUUGGUUUGAUGUUUCCAAGAAACAAAGCUCCUAUGAAGAGACU